rnacentral:rRNA from 1 species
GGUUGACCUCGGAUCAGGUAGGGAUACCCGCUGAACUUAAGCAUAUCAAUAUCGGUGGAAGAGAAACCAAACAGGGAUUGCCUUAGUAACGACGGGUGAAGGGGCAAAAGCUGAAAUUUGAAAUCUUGCUGACUG